CCUACCAACCGGGGAAAAUCGUAUGAAUACACACCAACAAACCGGGGAACACCUACCAACCGGGGAAUUCCCCGGUUGGUUUUAGGCGAAAAUCUCUAAUCUACGUGAAUGAAAUACCAAACUGUCAAUUUAAAUUAGAAAUCCAACGCCUUCCCCGAUUAGCGGGUUUGUGGCAUGCACAAAAUAUACACAAAUCUUCACCAUAUUACAAUCGAGUGUGUAUCCAGGCUUAUAACAGUUCCCCGGUUGCGCUGUUUAAAAAUCAUACACUCGGUAUUUAUAUCAUUUAGUGAAAGUCAGUUGGAAAAAUGGAGUUUCGAGCGAACAAACGCAUUAAACUAAGGCAACACAAUGACUACUAGAUCUACGGACAGCCAGGAACCAGGACAAACAACAUCCGUACACACGGAAGAAGUCGAUGAGACGAGUACCGAAACUAAAGAACAUAGCGACACUGCACACGAGUACAAUUCACAAGAUGCAGCAGAAAAUAUGUUGAACAGUGAAUCAUCGGAUAUCGAUGAUAGUGACAAUGACAAAGACUAUAUUCCGGAAGAAGGCGAUGCAUCGUCAGAUGAGUCGAUAGUUGUCGAACUCAUACCAAACAUUCAAAGAUUUCAAAAAAAGACAGCGUCAACACUACCUCCUGUUGAAUCCUUGCAAUCUCGUGCACGUGACGAAUCAUCCGCAGAGGCACACAAAACCAACAUCACCAUCGCUCAAACAAAUAACAGUGAAUACAGACAUUACGAUAAGAGAUUUUAUUGCAUGUUUUGCGAAAAGGCUCAAAUAAAACUAAAAAAAACAUUUGCUUUUGCAGCAUAAAGAUGGGCAAGAUGUGAAAGAUCUAUUAAAUACGGAAAAUUCAGCAGAAAAUAAAAAAAUGUAUGAAAAAAUAAGGAACGUAGGGAACCAUCUCCAUAAUGUUAAAGUAUUGCGAGAUGGCCAAGGACAGCUGUUUGUGUCAUACAGACAAAGUCACAAUCAACGCGUAGCUGAGACGAGUAUGGACCUUGUCCUUACUGUUACGGGUAUUACCCGAAGAAAAUCCUGUGGAGGCACACUCAAAAAUGUAAGUUUACAAUGCGGCGUGAUCAAGAAAACGACUCGCUUUAGAGAGCAGCCUGCUAUUACCAAAAUCAAAAGAAGGAAGCACUAUUUUAAGACGAGUAAUCGAGUCCAUGAGAAACGACGAAAUAAGUCGCAAAGUCAAAAGUGAUAAUACAAUCCUUGCAUUCGGUGAAAAACUCUGUACAAAAAGGGGCCAUGAUGAAAAGCAACACAAUUAUAUUAGACAGAAGUUAAGAGAAGUUGGUAGAUUGCUGAAAGACAUGCGAUCUUGUCCAGGCAAUGUUGAAAAGUCUUUGGAGAAUUUCAUGUAUUCAGAUGCUUUCAAAUUUAUUACACAAUCUUGCAAAAACGUUGCAGGCUUCGACGGAAACACCAAUACUUAUGCUACACCAUCAUUAGCCUUAAAGAUUGGCACAACGCUUCAGAAAUGUCUAAAAAUUCUAAUUUCGAAAGGAAUCGAAACAAACAACCAGGAUCUGCAAACAAGGGCUGAGGAGCUUUCCAAACUAUUUGAAAUUAAUUGGACGGAGGACGUGUCUUCCAAUGCCCUAAGAACACUUCAUGAGGCUAAGCAGAACAGUCAGAAAGAACUGUUGCCAUUGGCAAAUGAUGUCAAAGUAAUGUCUGAAUACUUACGACAUGAAGCAGAAACACAUGCAAAUACCUUACAAGAAUCAGCAAGUGAUUGCGAGAAAAGGCAAGCAUGGCAUAAGUUGUCUGAAAUCUGCUUGUGUUUAAUCGAAACGAUCAGACGAUGUGUCAAAAAUGACAGUCGAAGAAUAUUCAAAAAACAAAUUGACAAAUGACGAUGGAGAAUUAGAUUGAUGUUUAACAAAACUGGAAAAAAACCUGUGCCGUUAUUUUUACCGUACAGAGAUUAUUGCAAAACGAGGUCGAAUAGCUGCAGUACUGUUUCCAAGACAGGUGAAAGAAAAUAUCGACCUGCUCAUACGCAGCAGAAAUUCUCUAACAAACUGUUUAAAUAGUAAAUAUCUUUUCCCAACAAAAUCUGCAUCAUCGCAUAUUCGUGGGACAGAUUUAUUACGUUCAAUAGCAAUUGACUGUGGAGCUGAACAUCCGAAAAGGCUUCGUUCUACAAAGUUAAGGAAACAUAUUGCCACAAUGACUAGGCUUUUUAACUUGUCUGAAAAUGAAAUAGACAUUCUAGCUAAAUUUCUUGGUCACGACAUUCGGGUACAUAGAGAAUUCUACAGAUAACCAGAUGGAACCAUGCAGGUUGCCAAAGUCAGCAAGCUGCUCAUGAUGAUGGAAAGUGGACAAAUUACCAGAAAUUCUGUCAAUUCGCUAGACGAUAUUGAUGUGGACGACGAAUGUAUUGUAGAUGAACAAUAUUCUUCUGAAUUAUCAGAAAAUAAAAAUACUGAAGACCUUGAAACUCUGCUUCCCAGCACCAGUCAACCAAAAAUAACAGACAAAGAAAAGGGUACUUCAAAUACCAGGAGAACAAAACAAGCAGCCAAAAAGCAACGGAGUGAAGACGAAAACAGGAGCUGUUCACAGACACUUAGAUCGUUUUUUGAUAAUUGGUAAAUUACCAGGGAAAAAAUCAUUACUUGCAUGUAUUGAAAGUGAGAAUGACCUUCACAACAGAAGUUGGAAAAAUGUCAAAGACUUUUGCAUAAAUUUAAUUGAAACAAAAAAGCGACGGGGACUUUUAACUUAAAAAAAUAUAACACAUAUAAUGCACGUUUAGGAGAAUACGUUAAAGGAUGAAGUUGCCACAUGUGUUUUGUGUGUUUUCUUGUUCUAUAUACUCUUUUCGAAAACGAUAUAUGUGUGCUUAUUGUAUUUGAAUGUUUUAUUAAUACGGUUCAGUCAAAAACGAUAUUUGUUCAUAAUCAUAUCGCCGAACAAAUAAGGAUUGGUAUAUAGUUCGGCCAAAGAGUGUUUCUUUGUACUUUCUAUUACGAGUUUCUACGAGUUACUCACUAUACAAGUUAUUUUUUACCCCAAACUUGGUGAAUAUGAAUGAAUAUAGCAAACAUGAUAACAAAUCAAUCUAGAAGGCUAAACGUUCAGAGAAGGCACAAAAAAAUUCAGUCGGAUAAAUGGAAACAAACAUUUUGUUCAAGCAUAACAAACAAACACUUUUAGAUAUAAUAAGAUAAAUGUAAAUAACAUAAAAAAAACUACUGCUAAACUACUGCUACAAUGUGAAGAAUACAAAUGAAUAUUUUGUCAAUUUUACAAAAUUUGUUUUGAAUGACAGGUGUCUGACUUGCAGUUGAGUACUUAAUAGUUAUUUUAAAGUAAAAAUUUACCAAUAUGUAAAUUAUUGCGUAAAUAUCGCACUAGAAUUGAUUAAAUAGUUGUUAAAUAUUACAAUAAUUUCCUACACAGACUUUUGUGCAUUUGUUUUGCGUGUAGAUAUUCACAUUAACUAUCAAUUCACAUAUUUGCUUUGUGUAUAUAAUUGGUAUGUUUAUUUUCAGAAUUGAGUCACACUGUUAUAAUUUCCCUGUUGGUACAUAUUAUUUUUAAGUUGGCACCAACAAGGGUCUAACAAUUGAUUCACAUGUGCACUCCCCAGUAAGUAUAUAUACUAUAAUGUAAGUGAUGCAAAAUAAUAUUAAACUACGUGUUUGAUAAGUGUUUGCUUUGGUACAUAUUUAAUUAUUAGUGUUUUUAUAAAAUGAUAAUGCUGUCAAAGUCAGCGAUGAUAAUACGUGUAUAACAACAUUAAUUAUAACAUUUUUAUAUUGUUUUCAACAAAUAAUAUAUGGUUGACACAUCGGCAUAAAUUUUCAGUGCUUAAAAUACACUCUUUCUAUUAUAUUUUAUGCAAAAAUUAGGUACAUAAGUUGGUUUACAUAAAGGUAGUUUGAACAAAAUACGUGAAUUCAAAUCUUGAAAAAAGGUGUUUGGUUUGCAAGGGAAAACUAAGCGAUUGCCAGUGACUAUUUUCCUUAAAAUAUAAUCUGUUAUUUCGACAGGUAGAAUUUAAUGUGAGUUCAUUAUUAACGUUAACCCGUUUUUGGCAUUCUCUACUCAAACAAGUGCAUACAUACUGUAUUUUUUUAAUACAGCACAUGUGUAAUGGUAUCACAGUUGUAGAAUUGGAAUUCAUAUAUUAUAACAAUAAAUACUGAUCAUUAUUCAGAUUGACCUACCGCCGUAGACUAAGUCACUGGCGCAUCAAAAUGCAUUGUUAUCAAGUCGUUUUGCUAGUUUACUAAACUAAUUUGUUUCUCAGGCCUCGCCACAUUCGUUGUGAAACGUUCAUGAUUGUUUAAACUUUCAGAUUUUAUUAUUUUUGAAAAUGCAAUAAAUGUAUUUAAGACAAUUUAAGUGAAGUGGAAGUUGCCCUGCGUGUGAAUGAAUUUUCUGAUGUUUACCUGUUUCAGGGGAUUAAAUGCAUGAGUUAUUUUAUAAUGUCAGAGUAAGGACAAAGUAAAUUUACACUACUCAAUCUACAUGCUUAUGGGCAGUUCUACUUUUAGGAUAAAAAACUUCAUAGUACGUGAACAUCGUGAAUAUUUUUUUCUGAUGGAAAAAAGGAAUUAAACAAAUAAGCCGCCUCCCCCUCUCCUUCAU